rnacentral:ribozyme from 13 species
AACAAAGAGAAAACAAGCAAGAACAAAGAGAAAACGAAAACAAGAACUGGAGACAGCGGGAUUUUCGAGAGUCCAUCUUUUGGUUGCUUUUAUUUGAGUGUUCUUUAUUUGUGUGUU